AACCAUGUGUCAGCAAAGCACUGGACCUAUUUUUUCCCCUUUUCUUUCUUUCUUUUGUUUCAUCACCGAUUCAUCGCAAAUCGACGAUGUCUCCUCCGACUUCGCUGUCGAAACCGAGGAUCGAAACCGAGGACGACUCUCUUGGUCCUCACGGAGUCUCGUCCCACUUGCCUCAUCUUCUCCGUCAGAAGAAGUACCCAAAGCCACGACGGACGACGACUCUGUCGGUGUUGACGACGUCUCCUCCGUCUCACUCACGAUCUCUUCAAUUUGAAGAUAAGUUCCCAACUAUUUAACUUCACCUCAUCCUUUUCAUUUCAAUUUCAAGCUUGUCAUUUCAAUAUCUUGAGUUACGAUUACGGUUUGUUAGUUUUGUGGAUAAUUUUAAAGGUUUGGUCUUUGAUCGACAAUUGUA
rnacentral:lncRNA from 1 species